UAGGGAAUAUUGCUUAAUGGGCGAAAGCCUGAAGCAGCAACGCCGCGUGUGCGAAGAAGGCCUUCGGGUUGUAAAGCACUUUUUGGAGGGAUGAGGAAGGACAGUACCUUCAGAAUAAGCCUCGGCUAACUACGUGCCAGCAGCCGCGGUAAAACGUAGGAGGCGAGCGUUAUCCGGAUUUACUGGGCGUAAAGCGCGUGUAGGCGGCUCGACAAGUUGGAUGUGAAAGCUCCUGGCUUAACUGGGAGAGGUCGUUCAAAACUGUCGGGCUAGAGUAUGAGAGAGGGAGGUGGAAUUCCGGGUGUAGUGGUGAAAUGCGUAGAUAUCCGGAGGAACACCAGUGGCGAAAGCGGCCUCCUGGCUCAAAACUGACGCUCAGACGCGAAAGCUAGGGUAGCAAACGG
rnacentral:rRNA from 1 species